UUGUGGCUUAUUUAAUACGUUGCUUUAAAAAAGCAACCCGCUCCUUUCUUUUAAAAGCUGCUAUCAAAAUGAAAAAACUUAGUGUCUGCUUGAUAUGCCUUAUCUAAUGGCCAUAAGUGAUUAUUUUAUCAUAUAAGCUCUUUUCAAUUUUUUUUUAUUUAAUUGUCCUUUUAAUAAACCUUUUGGAGAUUAAAUGCCCUCAAAAUAAAUGUAUCCCCUCGAAAUUAAACAUAGAUUAAUUAAUCUCUUACUUUAAAUCAAUCGUUUAUUUUACCAACAAGAGGCCAUGUAUUUUAUUAGUAAGAGACCAAACCAACAUGGCUUUUCUUUAUAAAUCAAAAUAAGACAUAUUGGUUAUAAUUAGUUAUGUAUCCCAACUUCACUAACAUAUUUCUCAAAAAUUAAGGAGGACUAAACUGCUCAAAAUUGAAACUAUUUAGGUAAUAGAAAAAUUUUACUAAACUGAAAGACUUUAUUAAUAUUUUACAAGAAAGACACUACAAUACUCAGGGCUCACUUUUCUUUUUCUCUUCUAAUUCCUCACUCUUCACUUGACGCCUAUAAGACAGUGCUUAGGGGUUUUUGUAGUAACCUCAUUAGAUAUUUUUAGAUUAAAAAUAUCUCUCAUUCUCUACACAAUUCUUGAAUCUUCCAUGAAUUGAGCCCUCAACUUGAGCUUGGACAAAUAUAAUUAGAUUGCAUUAUGAAAUUGGUAUUGGACUUUUAACAUAAUUGGGAUGCAUAAUAUAUAUUUAAAUUGACGUGGCAUCUAACAUGUCUUCUUGAUAGUUGAUGCAAAAUUAACACAUUAAUAGUAAGUGCUAAUGGCCAAUUCCUCGUGGACUUGGAACAGAGUGCAAAAUUCGAUGAUCUUCGUUCUUGGUAGUGUUAGCUUGAAGAGCAAAGAGACACUCAGCAUCAGCAGCAGCGACCAUUUCAUAAUGACUUUUGGGGAUUAUGGCACUUAGAACCACACCGUCCUUCAAAUUCAAGCAAGGCACCUCUGUCUUCUGCCUGCUCAAUAACUUUCUAGCUUCCAAAGAUGGAAAAUUGAAAACUAAAGCUAAGACGAAGACAAUCAGAAAAAUAGAGUUGAAACGAGCCAUGGAUGUAGAUUAAUAUGGAACAAACUUAGAUAUAUACUAUAAUUUUGAGGAUGAGUUUAAGUUAACGAAUGUGUACGUGGGAUAGUGAGUAUUAGUGGAUAUAUUUAUAUGUGUGCGUGUGUGUGUGCGCGCGCACAUAUAUAGCUUUGAGAAAGGAGAGGCGUGAGGAUAAAGAACUAAGGUUAAUUAGCUAGUAGCUCAAGUCAUCAAUUUUUAAAUUUUCAAAGGUAUAUAAUUUGGGUUAGGUACAUUUGACUAUGCAGCCGGCGGCCAAUAAUAUUGCUAGUAAGAACUGGUUUCAUCCAUGCAUGCAUGAUUCUCCUAUUGCUGCCUGCAAACACCUAGAAUUUUGCAUACAUAUUCAACAGUUCAAAAUAUAUUGAUUGAUUCAAUUGGUAAUAUAUCUUUUCACUUUGAAUAUAUAGUGCAUGAAAUAAGACAGGGUGUGGGGUGACUUUGAUAUGGUACCUUGUGUUAAAUAUGAUGGAUUUUGGCAUAUAAUAAAUUAUUGUUAAAUCGAUAUAUAUACUAUUCAGAAAAGAAAAAUAUAACUUUUUUUUUCUCUGUAUUAUCUUUUUGUGCAUACAAAUUUUCAUUUUUGUAAAACAUGUUAACUUCCUCUUCUUUCAAAGGAACAAAUUUUCAGCAAAUACAUUAUUAUUUGUUGGGCUGAAUAUAUAUGUCACGUAUCAUUAUCGAAUAACAGUUGAUCUCUUUGGUAAUAGUAUAUUCAGUUAACGGUAACAUUAUAUUUAUGUGGCUUGAGUGUAAGACUUUACUUCCAUAAGCCGAUCAGGAGUCAAAGAAUCAAGUAGGCAGGAUAUUUUAUUGACUUUUUUCAGGCAAUUCUUUUUCAUGAAGUGUUCGCUAAAAUUAUGACAUUUAAUACUCAUUAUUCAGUAAUUGAAAAAAGAUAUAAUUUGUAAGAAAUCCAUAUGUUGUGAUUCUAACAAACCCUGGUUGGGUUGAUCAGCACCUCCUCUUUUUAACUCUAAGCUGAAGUGUCAAAUUGUGGGAUUGAGUGGGAUUGUGUUGAGUUUUGGUUGUAUUGUAUAUAGUAUUCAAGUAGCAGUUGAUCUCAAAUAAUUAAGUUCAUGUUGGAGGCUCCAACAACAAAAGUAAUGAUGGACACUACAAAAUUUUAACCAAAUUGAAAUUCAUUACCCAAUCUUAGUCUGUGGUAUUUCAAGAAUAAGCUUAAUACACAGGCUGGUAUAGAGGCAUCCACAACAUCUAUAAUAGGUAGAAUGGUGAAUCGUUAAGUCCAAAUAGGGUAAGUGAGCAUAAUAGAGCUCAAGGGAAACCUUGCUAAAUAGAUAACACAUGAAUGGGGUCUUUACUCAAUAAUUAUUACCUUUUGUUUCCAGAACAUCAAUAUAGUGGUUCCGAUUUCAACUUUCCAAAAAAAUUCAAAUUAGGAGAUGACUGGCUAGCUGUAGUUGAAUUCCCUACCUGCAAAUCAUAAGAUGAAUAUGAAACAUCUAACUGGCAUGACAGGCCAAAUGAAUAUCUCCCAUGAAAAUUACUUCACAAACCAUUCAGAACUGCAAUAACUUUCUUAUUGAAGCUACCAAAGUUAUACAACUUGACCUCUCUAAUGUAUUAUCACUUCCUUCCACAAACGAAAAUGAACAAGGUGGCUGGUGCGCUAAAACCUGUGCACACUAAAGAAACUACAGACUUGUGCAUGGUGAUUGGUGAAAGUACAGAGUCGUAUGUAGAGAUAUUUGCCUUUGGAAAAAAUUGAGACUUUAGCUAACACAUCCAGCCAAAAAGAAGAUAUGUUUUCACUUCUAACCCUGAAAUAUUAGUAAUCAGAAUCUCAAAUUUAGGGCCUAAUCAAGGAUUCAACAAGUUGAGAGGCCCUUGAGAACCUGUCAUCCUUACACAUCUAAGAAAUCACAGUCCUCCAUGUAUCAAAAUCAAUAACAUUCCCUUUCGUCAGGGUAUUCAAAACCGUCCAAAGAACCUCCACAUUCUCCAUCUCACACAGCUGAUCCACAAAUAAAUGUAUGCGAGCAGAGCGCGGUACAAAACCUUUCAAAGGCAUCUCAUCCAAAAUUAAAGCAGCUUCCUCAGCUGCAUCCCAUCACAUAGCCCAUCAAAAAGUAUCCUAUAAGAAACAACAUCAGCAUUACAAAUUUUGUCUAGGCAUAUCCUCGGACAAUUCUUCUGUCUCACUGCAUUUUCCCUUCUUACACAACCUACCAAGUAUAACCAAUCUCAUAAUUCUUGAAAACUGUAAAUGCUGCUUCAAAAUCCUCUUUUUACGAAACCCACUAUUUUAAAAAAUGUCUGAAAUUAAUAAAAUUUCAGACUUCAGACAUUUAUCAAACAACCUCUUACUCUUACCCCAUGUUUGAUUGAAAAAAUGGAUAGGAGAGGAAAAUAAUGGAAAAGGAAGAGAGAGAGAAAAAAAAAUGAAAAAAGAUAAUGAAUUGUUAGAAAAGCUAUUAGCCAGCAAUUCAAAAUAAAGAAGCAACACAAGAUGAAGAAUAAAAAGAGAGAGCAAUAUAUUAUAGAGUGAUUUUAUUCAUUCAAAGUGUGUACAAAACAAAGAGAUAAGCUCUCAUUUUCUAGUUACAUAAUCACUCCAUGAAAUAAAUGUAAAAAUUAUGGAUCAUAAUUCCUUGUGAGAUAGUGGGAGUUAUAGGGAAGCUAAAUGUUGCUAAUGGGAGAUAGUGGGGAAACUAAGAGAUAUAUGUUAUGAACAUCCACAUUUAUUUUAAUAAAUUCAUAACACUCCCCCUUGGAUGUUCAUUACAAAGAAUAUGCCUCAUUAAAACCUUUACUAAAAAAAAAAACCCUUAGGAAAAAAUUAGUAAAGGAAAAAGAGUACAUUAUUCAUUGAUGUCUUGAAUAAUUUUGGAGAUAUAAAGGUGCCUCGUUAAAACCUUACUAGGAAAAAUCCUAUGGGAUAAAAACCUAGUGAGGAAAAAGAGUACAACAUAUAAAAUUUCUUCCAAAAUAAAUUAUUUUCCCUAAUAAGUAUACUCCCCCUCAUCUUGACAUAGAUUCUUCAAGAUUUUGAGAAAAAUCUUUGAGUUAACGCAUCCCAAUUUUGUGUACCAACUUUUUGAAUGUCGCCGUUGGUAGGGAUUUUGUAAAUAAAUCUGCAAGAUUAUCACUUGAGCGUAUUUGUUGAAUAUCUAUUUCACCAUUCUUUUGAAGCUCAUGUGUAUAAAAGAAUUUGGGUGAAAUAUGCUUGGUCCUAUCACCUUUUAUAUAACCACCUUUAAUUUGGGCAAUGCAUGUUGCAUUAUCCUCAUAUAAUAUUGUAGGGUUAUUUUUAAUUGAUGACAAUCCGCAUGUUUCUCGAAUAUGUUGUAUCAUUGAUCUUAACCAAAUACACUCAUGACUUACUUCAUGAAUAGUAAGAAUUUCUGAAUGAUUUGAAGAUGUUGUAACCAUUGUUUUUUUCAUUGAUCGCCAUGAUACAACACUAUUACCAGAGGUAAACAAAUAACCCGUUUGAGAUCGGGAUUUAUGUGGAUAAGAGAGAUAUCCAGCAUCUGCAUAUCCAAUUAGUGGUGACUUUGAUCCAUUUAGAUAAAAUAAUCCCAAGUCAAUUGUUCCACGGAGAUAGCGAAAUACAUGCUUUACACCAUUUCAAUGCCUACGAGUUGGUGCAGAACUAUAUCUGACUAAUAAAUUAAUUGCAAAUGCAAUAUCAGGUCAAGUACAAUUUGCAAGAUACAUGAGCGCACCAAUUGCACUUAAAUAUGGUAUUUCAGGACCAAGAAUUGCUUCGCCAUCUUCUUUAGGACGAAAUGGAUCUUUUUCUACAUCAAAUGAUCACACCACCAUUGGAGUGCUUAAUGGAUGGGCUUCAUUCAUAUAAAAACGCUUCAAAACGUUUUUAGUAUAUGUUAACUGAUGUAAGAGUAUUCUUGUUAGAGUGCAAUUUAUGCACUAGUUUUGCAUUGUUUACUUCCCUUAAUAUCGAUGUUUUGCACUUAAUAAUAGUGAUUUACUUGUGUUUUACUUUUGUAGGUGUAAUUCUAUUGAUUAGUGAUAAAAUUGAGCUACAAGAUGAUGUUUAAGGAUGAUUGUUCUCUUGGAGAAAUUAUGAGCGUCAGAAGAACUUUGUUAAUAAGGCGUGGGUGCGUGCUGUUAACUGCGGACCUGCAGUUUUUAGUUAAACUUGUUUUGUAUUUUUGGUUAUUUUUGUAAUUACGAAUUUAAUAUUUCAGAUAUUAGUAUUUUAUUUUAAAUAGAGCUCUAAAGGAGAAGAGAGAGAGAGCAUUUAAGGGAGGAAUCUAUUGUGAAAAAAAGGGAUUUUUAGAAAAGAAAGAAACCCUAGAUCUAAAUUUUUCUCUUCUCUCUAUGAAGAACUAAACCUAUUAUUCUGGUUGAAGGUUAAUGAAGCUUUGAUUCAUCACUAUUGUGAGAUCUUUCUUAUGCUUUAAUUGUUUUAUUACUUUUUGGAUAUUUGUUUAUUCUCUGAAUUAUUGUCAUGAUUAUAUUUGUUAAUUAGAUAAUUGGCCACUAUUUAAUUAUCAACUUAAUCUAUUGUCAAUUAAAGGAUUCAUCGUAUGAAGAUUUUAAUGUUUGUGACAAAUAACAUAGCAGUGAGUUGUGUUAUGAGAAUAAACAAUCUAAUUUAAAUGAACCAUCGUAUGUGUUUGUUGAUUAGGAUUUGGGUCUCUCUGGUUUUUCAGGCUGUCAAUUGAUUAAAUUCUAUGAUCGUAUCUAGGGUUGUCUAUUGAUUAGGGAAAUAACCAACGGUCGUACCUUGGUUAUCGACUAGUUAAGGAGAGAUUGGCUAUUAGAGGGUCUCAGUAGCUAUAACCGGUCUAUUCAUAAGUAGUAAUGAUUUAUAUUUGAAUAAAUUAUCAGUAGUCGAAUCAAGCUGAGUUAAUUCCUUCAACCAGAGCUUUCUCCAAUUUGAAUUACAACUUUAAUUUGCAUUCUUGUUAUUUUAAUUUGAUUUUUAUUAUUGUCAACAAUUCCCCCAUUUUACGUUUUACAUUUUAAAAGGAUUCAAAUAAUUACCAAUCUCUGUGGACACGACCCUGCUCAAUCACUAUACACAAUUUAUUUAGAGUAGGUAUUUAUUUUUGCUGGCUUCGACAACCAUCAAUUCCAGUUGGCAAAUACUUAAUCUAUAAGCCAAUACAAAAUUUUGUUUUUCUAAGAUCUUUCAUUUCAAACUCAUUUUUCAAACAAAAAGCUGUUUUUGAAAGCUCUUCAAGAGUUCCAAUAAGAUUUAAAUCAUCAACAUAUAUUGCAACUAUUGCAAAUCCAAUUUCAGAUUUUUUAAUAAAAACACAAGGGCAAAUUAGAUUAUUUACAUAUCAUUCUUUCAAUAAAGAGUUGCUUAAGCGAUUGUACCACGUGCGCCCAGACUGUUUUAAUCCAUACAAGGAUCGUUGUAGUUUUAAAGAAUGUAAACUACGAGGUUUUAAUUUGUUUACUUCUGGCAUUUUAAAUCCUUCGGGGAUUUUCAUAUAAAUAUUUGUAUCAAUAAAACCAUAUAAAUAUGCAGUCACAACAUCCAUAAGACGCAUAUUAAGCCCUUCAGAGGCUACGAAACUAAUUAGAAAUCGAAAUGUAAUUGCAUCCAUAACAAGAGAAUAUGGCUCCUCAUAAUCAAUGCUAGGCCUUUGAGAAAAACCUUGUGUAACUAACCUUGCUUUAUAUCUCACAAUCUCAUUUUUCUCAUUUUUUUUUCUAAAAAAUAUUCACUUAUAACCAACAGGUUUGACAUCUUCAGGGGUCAGGACUACUGGUCCAAAUACUUUAUGUUUCGCAAGUGAAUUUAACUCUGUUUGAAUAACAUCUUUCCACUUUGGCCAAUCAUUUCUAUGUCGAUAUUCUUCCAUAGUUUUGGGGUCAGGAUCCUCAUCAUCAUUUAUGAUAUUAAGAGCCACAGUAAAUGAAAAAAUAUCAUCAAUAAUUAUUUCAUUUCGAUCCUAAGAUUUUUCUAUACCAACAAAACCAAUCAUAAUUUCAUCAUUUUGUUUCUCUUUAGGAGAAAUUGAUAAUUUCUCAGUUGUUGGAAAAUCUUAUUAUGAAUCAAUGGGACAAAUACUUUUUGAUUAUCAAUGUCUGUUAUUUGAUUAGCACGCAAUGACUCUUCAGGAGUGCUAAUUUCAUUUUGUAACUUUUCUUUUGUAACUUUUCUUGUGUUUUCCUCUUCCAGGGAAUUUUGUCUUUUGAGCUAAUUGGUCUCCCACGUUUCAAAUUUACUUUACUUUCAUUAGUUUUGUCGUGUUGUCCUUCAAGGAUCUCAACACGCGCUGGGGCAUUUUCAGCUGGAAUAUAUGAUUUUGUUAUUUUUCUUGAAUCAAUAAAUGCAUCAGGAAUUUGAUUUGCAAUAUUUUGCAAAUGAAUGAUCCUUUUAACUUCAAGUUCACUUUUAUUUGUAUGAGAAUCAAGAUGAGAUAAUGAUGAUGCAUGCCAUGUAAUUUCACGUCGUUAAUUUACUUUUGUCUUUUCUCCCCCUAACGACGGGAAAAUUUGUUCAUCAAAAUGGCAAUCUGCAAAUCGUGCAGUAAAAAGAUCUCCAGUUAAAGGUUCAAGAUACUGAAUUAUUGAAGGAGAAUCGAAACCAACAUAAAUUCCAAGUCUUCGUUGCAAAGCCAUUUUAUUUCUUUGUGGGGAAGCUACUGGGACAUGCAAAUGAGAAAUAUUUGGUUGUUGGCCAAAAACAAGUUGUGAAGGUGAAUAUGUAUGAUAAGAACUUGGUCGAAUGUGAUUUAAUGAUGCAGCAUGUAGUAUUGCAUGUCCCCAGCAUGAAAAAGACAAAUUUGAUCUAAGAAUUAAUGGUCUUGCAAUUAAUUGUAAACGCUUAAUUAAAGAUUCAGCUAAACCAUUUUUUGUAUGAGUGUGUGCAACAGAAUGCUCAACAUCAAUUCCAAUAGACAUACAAUAAUCAUUAAAAAAUUUAAACGUAAAUUGACCAACAUUAUCAAGUCUAACUUUUUUAAUAGGAAAAUUAGGAAAUUGCACUCUUAUUCUAAUGAUUUGAGCAAGAAAUCUAGCAAACGCAACAGCACGACUAGAAAGUAGAGAGACAUGUGACCAUCUAGUUGAUGUAUCUAUUAAGACCAAGAAAUAACGAAACGGUCCACAACUUGGAUGUAUAGGGCCACAUAUAUCUGUUGGGAAAAUAUGCUCUUUAAAAGUAUAUGUGUUUAUUUAAUUGUAAUAAACAUUUUUUUCUGAUUAAUAAAAAUAAUGAGGUAUUUUAUGCAAAUAUCUUAAUUGCAUUAAUAUUUUUAUUAAAGUCCAUUUAAUCAUAUUAUAUGUAUUUAUGUGAUCACCAUGUGGAUUCACAAAAGACAUAAAUACAAGUUAUCUUAUGAUUAAAUAAAUUUAGUUCGCAGUUGAUAAAUAAAGUUGGGCACUUUAUUUAGGUAUAGACUGUACUAAAUUCAUUGAAUGAUUUGUCUUAAUCAUGUAUGAAUUUAUUCAUGUAGUACGACUACAUUGAACAGGAUCACAUAUGGGAUUUAAUUAACUUUGUAAUAACUGUCAGACUUAUUAAAUCUCAUAGGCGUUGAUUUUAUUGUAAUCUUAAUCUUGAGUUAAUUAUGAUUUCAUGAUUGUGAUUGUUAUUUCAUUUGAGUUACCUAUGGGCACGACACAUCCUUGUGGUCAAGAUUACUCGGUAUCUUGGUGGGAGCAAUUAUGAGUAUUGGAGUUAUGGAUUAACAAUAUAGAAUUUGUACAACACAUCUCUUGAUAGGUUUUCGACACUUGAUCAUAGAAUUCUUUGACCAGAGUGUGUCAACAUAUUUAGUAUGUUGAAAAUGAUCAUUAGAGAAAACCAGUAAGGAUCAAGGAAUAAGAUGUUAUUAAAUUGAUUGGACAGUUGAGAUAUCAAUUUAAUUAACGAUGUGGUACAAAGGAUUGUGCAGUAAAGAAAUCAAUGUGGCUUGGGACGAAUUAUUAUUCGAGCAUACAAUUAUGGAAGUCAGUUCCAAUCUUUUAGUGGAGUAGAUUUGGAAUUAAAUAAUUAGGCUAGUUUAAUUACAGGCCUAAGUAAGUUUUGUUUGAUGAUUAUUUGGAGCCUAUGGUUUUCACUAAAGGGUGAUAUAAAAGGCUUAUUUUCUCAAAAGAAAAAGAGGAGGCCACUUUAUACAAAUCGGAGAAUAAGAUUUUUCUCUCUAUUGUUGAGAGAAAAAUUUUCUCGUGCUAGUUGCUUUGGUAGUGAGAACGGCGCCCACACGUCAAGUGCAGAUCGAACCUCUCGAACCUGCGUCAUAACCUGGAAGAUCAUUGGUGACAGUUCGUGAUCUAACAAGCGUGGUGGUGACGGAUCGUGAUCUAACAGGAGUGGUGGUGGCGGCGGAUCGUGAUCUAGGAGCCUAAAUCAUUUCAACGGAAAAAGCCAAAUCGGAUUUUCAAGGUACAAUUUCUAGAUUACAAAUUCUUAUAUAUUAUAUGAGAACGAUCUUUAAAAGGUUUUAUAAAAAAAUUAAAAACCUAAUUUUUCCACAAUAAUAUCCCCUUGGAUUCUUUUUAAAAACUUAGGAGAUUUAAGACUUACUUUCAUUGGAGAUGGCCAAAUUAUUAAUUUUCCUUGAGAACAAGCAGCACAUGAACUUUCAUUUGGCAAAAGAAUCUUCUGGUCCUUUAAUUGAUGUCCAUGUGAAUUUUUUAUAAUACGACGUAUCAUGAUUGAUCCAGGAUGCCCAAGUCUAUCAUGCCAAAGUUUAAAAAUCUUUGGAUCAGAGAACUUCUGGUUCAUUGUAAAAUUUAUCUCUAUUGUUCUUAUAUUUGUAUGAUACAACCUAGAAGAAAGAGAAAGUAGUUUUUCCAGUACAUGCUUCUGGCAUGAAAUAAUUGAAGUAAUGCAAAGAAAUUCAAAAUUACUUUCACUAGAUGUUUCAAUGUGGUAUUCAUUUUGACGAAUAUCCUUAAAACUAAGCAGAUUUUUGCUGGAUCUGCUGGAAUAUAAAGCAUCAUUUAUUUAUAAUUUUGUACCAUUUGGUAACAUGAUAUUAGCUCUUCCGGAGCCUUCAAUUAAAUUAGCAGAACCAUAUAUUAUAGUAACAUUAGACUUAGCUAAUAUUAAAUUAUGGAAAUAUUUUUUAUUUCGUAGAAUCGUAUGCGUUGUCGCACUAUCCACCAAACAUCCAUCUUCAUUAUUCACCAAGUGAUUGUUCAAAUUCAUUGUAUAUCUGAACAGAGUCUUGUGCUGAUAACAUGUUAGAAAAGCUAUUAGCCAGCAAUACAAAAUAAAGAAGCAACACAAGAUGAAGAAUAAAAAGAGAGAGAGCAAUAUAUUAUAGAGUGAUUUUAUUCAUUCCAAGUGUUUGUACAAAACAAAGAGAUGAGCUCUCCUUUUAUAGUUACAUAAUCACUCCAUGAAAUAAAUGUAAAAAUUUUGGAUCAUAAUUCCUUGUGAGAUAGUAAGAGUUAUAGGGAAGCUAAAUGUUACUAAUGGGAGAUAGUGGAGAAAUUAAGAGAUAUAUUUUAUGAACAUCCACAUUCAUUUUAAUAAAUUCAUAACAUCAAUUUUAUUUUUAUUAUUUGGUUGGACAAAAAUUUCAUCUAUUCCCUUUAUUUCAUUCCCUUGUCCUCUUUUCCUUUUCUCUCCUUUUUUUUUCCCUUCAAACCAACUAUGCCAUAAAUUAUUUUUUAUUAGGAUUUGAGUUAACUUUUACCACUUAUCCUUAACUUUUCCAUGAAAUUGUGAAUGAUUAAUUUUCCUCAAUCUUUUAUUAAAUUAAUCGUAUAAAAUAACAUAAAAUUUUAUGAGGAUUUAACUAUUCGUAAUCGUAAAUUAUUUGCCCUCUUAGUUUUAUUGAUUAAUGUUAUACGCGACCCAUGUUCAUGGUUUCUUAAUAGUGUCCCUCGUCUAACCAAAAUCCUAGUUUCGCCCUGUAUGAAAUGCUUAAAAAAAUAGUAAUAAACUAUUAAUCAAAAUGUAUCUAUCAUAUCUUCUAUAUGAAAAGAAAACAAUAUAGAAUUUUAAUUACUAUGAGAAUAAGAGAAUCAAUGUGAGUUUCACGCAUGACUCAUCAAUCCAAGAUCGAAAAAGUACAUAAAAAUAAGGAAAAAAAUUGCAAGGAGCAAUAUUUGUCCUUAGCUACUAGACACUUUUGGUCUCAUAAUAUGAGACUAAUUUGAUUUCCAAACACAUUAUUUGAUAUUUCCAUCAUUAACAAAUAACAAAUAAUAAUAAACUUUUUGGAUAAUUUAAGAGGUUUCAAAGGAGAAACAGAAGAUAACAAGAUUUUCUUGUGCCUAUAAUGAAAUUUAUAGCGAAACGAUAAGUGAAAUCAAAGCCGAUUAAAAUUAACCUUUUAAUUAUAUGUAAUCAAAUAAAACGAAGAAAAGGAAAUCAAAUUCAAGUUACGAACUUUUGUUCCCACAAGUAUUGUCAGUUAUUUGUUUUAAAUAUUUGUUAGUUGAUCACAGAGUUUAUGAGAGCUUCUAUCUCAAAUAUCACAUUUAACAUUUCUAUAUCUUUAUGUAUGCAUGAGGAUAUUAAUAAGACAUUUUCCUUUUUAGACGUUUGUACACAGAUUAUCUGUGUUCUUAAAUAUAAGAGUCUAAUCAUCCUAUCUUCAUCAAAUUUUCUCAUUUCAAUGAAAGUAAAAUAUACUAUAAUGUCAAGAUAUCAGGGGAAACUAACUGUAAAUAUAAUUUCUAAUAAAUUAUAAAGGAUCCAACGAAUUCAAAAUGACAACAAGGUAUUUUGGAUAAUUUUUUAAAAUAUGUAGACUAAUUGGAUGAUUAAAUCACGUCGUACGAAAUAUAACAUCAUUUUUCCAUAGUUUGCGAAUACACAUAGAAGUGCAUAGAUGAAGUUGGGUCAGGUAUUAUGUAACCAUAAACCUGAAGUCAUUUUAGAUUCUACUUGGAUGAAAAAGGGGUUUCACUUUGUGAGAGAAAGCUUGAUUAAAUAGAAACGCUUACCUAAAAGUGAUGCUACCUGGGAAAGUUCUCAAGAAUUAUGAGAUAGGUUCAUUAUUAUGUACCUGAAGGAUAAGGUUCCAGUGAAGGAGGGGGUAUUGACAUUUAAGGUACAUACAAGAAGGUCAUGGGAAUAUUCUCGAGAAUUAUAAGAUAAGUUCAUUACUAUGGACCUUGAGGACAAGGUUCUAGUGAAGGAGGGGGUAUUGACAUCCAAUGUACCUUCUCGAGAAUUAUAAAAUAGGUUCAUUAUUAUGUACAUUGAGGAUAAGGUUCCAGUAAAGCAGCGGGUAUUGACAUUCAAGGACGUAUAAGAAUGUCAUGGGGAAGUUCUCAAGAGCUAUGAGAUAGGUCAAUUACUAUGGACCUUAAGGACAAGUUUCUAGUGAAGAAGGGGGUAUUGACAUCCAAGUUACAUACAAGAAGGUCGUGGGAAAGUUAUCAAUAAUUAUUGUUGUUUGUGAAAGCAAAUCCAGAAAACCAAAAUGGCAGAAGACUUUGCGUUUAGAAGCUGGAAACACUUAAGCUCAACGGCACAGGAUCCUGCGUUUUGAAGAGUAAAAGAAAUACACUUCUGAACGACGUAUGGGUUUGUCGUUUAGAUUUAAGUGAUGCACGCUUAUAUCACGUGCUUGUGUUUAGCUUGCAAAGUUCGUUAGAAGUCGUUAAAUGCAUGAGGAACUCACGUGAGGUGCGGGAGAUUUCUGGGUUCGUUAACUGAAGCUGUUAAUGGAACAACUGAUGUGGAAGCAACGGAUUGGAGAGCAGAGAGAGCUGAAGAGAGAGAAGGAAGUUGGUUAUAUAAAACUAGUUGUGAUCUUUCUUGGCAUCGAAGCAUUACUCUGUAAUUCAUCUUAGUAAAUCAAUAAAGCUGUGUUCUUUCCCUCCCGUGGAUGUAAGCUAGAGAAAUCUAGCUGAACCACGUUAAGAUUCUUUUGUUCUUUUGAUUACGUUACUUCUGUUGAUUCUUUAGUCCAUAUUGGUUAAAUCAUCUAGUUCUAUAGUUUCAUCUUAGUCGUAGCUUUUCAGUUAAACAUCUUGCUACAUCUUAUUCUGUUGGCUUAAGAUCUUAGGGCAGAGUCUUGGGUUGCUUAAUUAGUUCAUAGCACCUGAGAUUCUACAAUUGGUAUCAGAGCUGGAUCUACAACCAAAGACAAGUAUGGUUUUAACCAAGAUCGAUCUUGAGAAGUUUACUGGCAAGAAUGACUUCAACAUGUAGAAGGUGAAGAUGGAGGCCUUGCUGAUAACACAGGGGUUAGGAGAUGCACUUGAACCUGUCACCAAGAAGGAAGGGAAAGAAGAAUCAUCCUCCAAGACACCUAAAAUGGCAGCCGAGAUAGACAAGAAGGCCAGAAGCACCAUCAUAUUGAGCCUUGGUGACUCAGUGAUAAGGGAGAUUGCCAAGGAGAAGACUGUUGCAGACCUAUGGACCAAAUUAGAAAAGAUUUAUAUGACUAAAUCUUUGGCUAAUAGGUUGUAUAUCAAAAGAAGGAUGUUCACACUAAAGAUGGCUGAAGGGUCCUCUCUGGAUGAUCAUAUUGAUGAAUUCAAUCAAGUGUGUGACACACUUGAAACCAUUGAUGAGGGGCUGGAUGAUGAAGGAAAUGCAUUGCUUCUGGUGAGCUCUCUACCUCAGUCUUAUUCAAAUCUUGUUGAUGCCCUUAUGUAUGGAAGAUCAACCUUAUCAUUAGAUGAGGUUAAGGCUGCCUUGAAUACUAGAGGGCUACAAGAAAAAUCUGGGAAUAUGAUGCAUGCUGAAGGGUUAUCAGUUAAGGGUAAGUUUAACAAAAAUGAUGGAAAAAAGAAGAAACAAAAGCAAGAAAAGUCCAAGUCACAAAACAAGAAGUGCUUUCAUUGUAACAAAGAAGGCCACUUUAAGAGAGACUGUCAAGAACUGAAGAACAAAAGCAAAGAAAGAAAUGGUGAUGCAGCUACAGUGGAAGAAGAAGGUUAUGAAUCUGCUGGUGUAUGUGUGGCUAUAGAGGAUCUCCAGAGAGGUAAAUGGAUACUAGAUUUUGGUUGCACAUUUCAUAUGUGCUCAUUUAAAACUUACUUAUCUGAUUACCAUGAUUUAGAUGGGGAAAAAGUAAUGAUGGGUAACAAUGCUGUAUGUAAAGUCAUAGGCAUGGGAAAUGUGAGUCUUAGGCUUCAUGAUGGAACAAUUUGGGAACUUAGAGAGGUUAGAUAUGUUCCUGAUUUAAAGAGAAACUUAAUCUCACUAGGUUUGAUAGAUUAGAAUGGGUUUAGUGUUAAGCUUGAAUCUGGUAGAUUGUUGAUCAUGAAGGGCUCUAAGAUAGUGAUGAAAGGAUAAAAAAGAAAUGGAGUAUAUGUCCUAGAUGGUGAGGUAGUUACAUGAAUAACAGAUGUGAUUGUUGGCACUGGUGAGGAAAGCACCAGGCUGUGGCACCUAAGAUUGGGGCAUAUGAGUGUUAAGGGGUUAAAAGAACUUGAGAAACAAGGAGUUCUAGGGAAUGAUAAGAUAGAAGAGUUAGACUUUUGUGAAGAUUGUGUAUUUGGGAAGUCCACAAGGCACAGCUUCAAACACUCAACUAGCAAAUCUAUUGGCAUCCUAGAUUACAUACACUCUGAUCUCUGGGGACCUGCACAGACAAGCUCAUUAGGUGGUAAUAGCUAUUUUUUGUCAAUAAUUGAUGAUUACUCAAGAAGGGUUUGGGUCUAUGUACUGAAACACAAAGAUCAAGUCUUUAGCAAAUUUAAAGAAUGGAAAACCUUAGUUGAAAAUCAAACUGGAAAGAAGGUUAAGAAACUAAGGACAUAUAAUGGACUUGAGUUCUGCAAUCAGCAAUUUAACAGCUACUGUACAAAUGAGGGGAUAGCAAGGCACAAAAUAGUGAGGUCAACACCUCAGCAGAAUGGAUUGGCAGAAAGGAUGAACAUGACCCUGAUGGAUAAGGUGAGGUGCAUGCUGGUGCAAGCAAAGCUUCCAAAAGGUCUCUGGGCAGAAACCUUAUUAACAGCAAACUAUCUGGUGAAUUUGAGUCCAUCUGCUGCUCUAGACUUUAAGACUCCAUUUGAAAUAUGGCAUGGAAAACCAGCAAGCUAUGUCGAUCUUAAAGUGUUUGGAUGCCCUGCUUAUGCACAUGUUAAUCAAGAGAAGCUAGCACCCAGGGCUCUUAAAGGUCAGUUCCUAGGCUAUCCUGAUGGAGUUAAAGGAUACAAACUAUGGUGCACUGAUCUAGAACCUCCAAGGUGCAUAAUAAGCAGAGAUGUGGCAUUUAAUGAGAAAACGGUACAGCAGCAAUCUCAAAGGCAGACUCAAGUACAAGGGUAUCAGCUGACAAAAGAUAGAGAAGAGACAAAUCAGACCACCACAUAUAUAUGGAUAUGCUGAUCUGAUAGCAUAUGCACUAGCUGCUUCACAUGACAUUGAUAUAGAUGAGCCCAAGAGUUAUGCUGAAGCAAUUCAAAGCUCAAACAAAACAGAAUGGCAGGAAGCUAUGAAUGAAGAGAUAGCCUCCCUGAAGAAGAAUCACACUUGGAUAUUGGUUGAGAAGGCUGGUAACAGAAGGACAGUGGGUUGCAAGUGGGUUUUCAGAGUCAAAGAAGGCCUCACAGCCAGUGAACCUAGUAGGUACAAAGCUAGGCUGGUAGCUAAGGGGUACACUCAAAGGGAAGGAGUUGACUUUAAGGAGGUAUUCUCCCCUGUGGUCAGACAUGCCUCUAUAAGGGUAUUGUUAGCAAUGACUGCAGUUCAUGACUUAGAGCUUGAUCAACUCGAUGUCAAGACUGCAUUCCUACAUGGAAGACUACAGGAAGAAAUUCUUAUGACUCAACCUGAGGGUUAUGUGGACUCUGAAAAACCAAACCAUGUUUGCUUGCUAAAGAGAUCACUGUAUGGGCUCAAGCAAUCUCCAAGGCAAUGGUAUCUCAGGUUUGAUGAAUUCAUGUUGUCACAUGGAUACCUGAGAUGCAGUUUUGAUUGCUGUGUAUAUUACAAGCUAAUAAGUCCAAAUCUCUACAUAUACCUGUUACUAUAUGUAGAUGAUAUGUUGGUAGCCUGUAAGUCAAGAGAAGAAAUUACAGUUUUGAAGAAUUUGCUGAGCUCUGAAUUUGAGAUGAAAGAUUUGGGGUCAGCAAAGAAGAUACUGGACAUGGAGAUCAAGAGGGACAGAAGCAAAGGCAUUAUGUUCCUUUCCCAAGAGAAAUACCUGAGGAGAGUACUGGAAACUUUGGGAUGACCUCAUGUAAACCUGUGAUGACUCCAAUAGCAACACAUUUUAAGCUUUCCAGUUUGCAGUGUCCUAAGACAGAAGAAGAAAAGUUAGAGAUGGCUAAGAUUCCCUAUGCUAAUGCAGUUGGCUGCAUGAUGUAUGCCAUGGUUCUAACUAGGCCUGAUAUCUCCUAUGCUCUAAGUGUAGUAAGCAGAUAUAUGGUGUCUCCUGGAAAAGAACAUUGGAGAGCUGUAAAAUGGGUGCUUAGAUACCUAAGUGGAACCUUGAACCAAGGGCUGGUUUAUGGAAAGUCAGGAAUCAAGUCUGAAGGGAUCAGUGGUUUUGUUGAUUCUGACUUUGCAGGGGACUUAGACAGAAGAAGAUCUCUCACAUGGUAUUUAUACAUGCUGGAUGGUUGUUUGAUUAACUGGAAGGCAAGUCUUCAUCAUAUUGUUGCAUUAUCAACAACAGAAGCUGAGUAUACAGUAGCUGCUGAAGCAAUGAAGGAGGCCUUAUGGUUAAAAGGCCUGAUUUCUGAGUUUGGAAUGAGUCAGAAGACAGUUGAUGUAUUCUGUGAUAGCUCAAGUGCCAUUUACUUGAGUAAAAACCCAGCUCACCAUGAGAAGACAAAGCACAUCGACAUCAAGCUGCAUUUCAUCAAAAAUGUAGUCUCCAUGGGUGUGGUCAAGAUGGUGAAGAUACAUACAGACAGCAACCCUACUGACCUGUUAACUAAGGUAGUCACUACAGCUAAGUUCAAGGUGUGCUUGGACAUAGCUGGUCUUGGCUGCUAUUGAUUCAUUCUGGAAAUGGAGGGGGGAAACCAGGGAUGAUUUGUUUCAAGGUGGAGAAUUGUUGUUUGUGAAAGCAAAUCCAGAAAACCAAAAUGGCAGAAGACUUUGCGUUUAGAAGCUGGAAACACUUAAGCUCAACGGCACAGGAUCCUGCGUUUUGAAGAGUAAAAGAAAUACACUUCUGAACGACGUAUGGGUUUGUCGUUUAGAUUUAAGUGAUGCACGCUUAUAUCACGUGCUUGUGUUCAGCUUGCAAAGUUCGUUAGAAGUCGUUAAACGCAUGAGGAACUCACAUGAGGUGCGGGAGAUUUCUGGGUUUGUUAACUGAAGCUGUUAAUGGAACAACUGAUGUGGAAGCAACGGAUUGGAGAGCAGAGAGAGCUGAAGAGAGAGAAGGAAGCUGGUUAUAGAAAACUAGUUGUGAUCUUUCUUGGCAUCGAAACAUUACUCUGUAAUUCAUCUUAGUAAAUCAAUAAAGCUGUGUUCUUUCCCUCCCGUGGAUGUAAGCUAGAGAAAUCUAGCUGAACCACGUUAAGAUUCUUUUGUUCUUUUGCUGCAUCUUGUUCUGUUGGCUUAAGAUCUUGGGGCAGAGUCUUGGGUUGCUUAAUUAGUUCAUAGCACUUGAGAUUCUACAAUUAUGAUAUAGGUUCAUUACUAUAGACCAUGAGGGUAAGGUUCCAAUGAAUGAGGGGUAAGUCGUAAGAAAUUUUUCAAGAAUUAUGAGAUUGGUUCAUUUUUAUAGACCUUGAGGAUACGAUUUGAGUGAAGGAAGGGGUAUUGACAUUUGAGGUAUAUAUAGGAAGACCAUGGCAAAAUUGUCAAGAAUUAUAAGAUAGGUUCAUUACUAUGGACCUUGAGGACAAGGUUCUAGUAAAGGAGGAGGUACUGACAUCCAAGGUAGAAACAGGAAGGUCAAGGAAAAAUUCCCAAGAAUUAUGAGAUAGGUUCAUUACUAUGCACCUUGAGGACAAGAUUCCAGUAAAGGAGGGGUAUCGACAUCCAAAAUACAUGCAAGAAGAUAAUGGGAAGAUGCAGGGGCGUAGCCAGCAUAGGACGUACCCUAGUUGGCUUUUAAUUUUUUUUUUUAUGGUUAACUUAAAAAAAUAUAUUUUAUUUAUUAUUUAUAAAAAUACCCCAGGUGAAUUGCAAAAUUCUGAAAGUGCCACAUUAAUUUUAAAACAUUUCAUACUGCCCUUAACUUAAAUGUCUAAUUCUAAAUAAUUUGCUUAACUAUUAUAAUUUCAUGAAAAUUAAUAAAGACAACAAGAGAACCAUGUUUAUAAAAUGAAAUCCAUUAAAAAAUCAAUUAAAACAAAUGAAAUCUAAAAAAAUUAUAAAUUUUUAAAAUUAUAUUAUAUUUUAAAUGUGCCCCAGCCAAAUUAAAUUCUUGACUAUGUCCUUGGGAAGAUGGAUGUGUUGUCAAAGUCUUAGGUGGCGUUUGUUUUUUUGUCUGAAAUCUGAAUAGACCUGAAUUAGUCUCAAUUCUGAAUAGGUCUGAAUGUCUGAAUCUGAAUAAUAUGUUUAUUUUUUCGUCUGAAUCUCGAAAAAUAAGUAUUAAGUUGUUUGUUUUUUUCAACUUAAAAAGCUGAAAAUAUGUACUUUUACAUUUGUAUCCUUAUUAAAUUUGAAUAUCAAAUAAAUAAUAUAUUAAAUAUUACAAUAUUUUAACAUUUAUAAGUAAAACUAUAUUCAAGUGAAUACAUAAUUAUUUUAGAAUUUUAAUAUAUAAAAUACCAUAAAUUUUAAAUUUUAUCGUAUAUAAUAUAAGAAAGAAAAAACAGAGAUAUUUUUAUGUGGGGUAAAUAUAUAUGGGUGAGUUUUGGGAUAGACAUGAAAAAUAAAUUAUAAAACAGGGAUAUUUUUUACGUUAGCAAGUAAUUGACUUAAUUCAGAUUUCUCCAUUAAGUAAAAAGCCAAAAAAAUUAGCUUAUUUUAUUAAGUCAAAAUUAUCUAAAAAGUCUCAUUAAGUUAUAAAAACAAACAUCUCUAAUUAACUUAAUUAAUUAAGUUAAGUCACUUUAAGUCAUUAAGUUAAAAAACAAACGCCACCUUAGUCUAAGUUGGCCAACGUUCACAUGAUUGCAAAGGAAUAGGUCAUGUAGUUUCGCUAUUUAUUUACAAUAUUUUAAACUAAUAAGAAGUUGUUUUCCUAUGUAGCACAUGUCAUCUUGAGCUUAGGAGUAGUGGUUAAAAUCUAUUUAUUUAAAUUUCAUCAGAUUCAAUCAAGUAAGCAAGUAUUUAUUAAAAAUUCAGUUUUCUAUUCUCAAGAGAAUUGUACUUAGCAAUUCUAUUUGGGAACUAUCACAAAGUUUUUAAUUUCAAUUUUUUCUUUUAACCUCUUUCUCUCACCACUGGAGGCCAAACUAGCUAAACUUUCUUUUGAAUAUCAUAUAGAUGAAAUAUUAUGUAUAUUUAAUUGUCAUCAACAGAAACUAUACUUUGUAAGAGUAUAAUACUUGUCUUAAUAUUUAGCUCAGAUAAUUUAUAUGAAUAAUCAUAUAUGUACUAAAAAUAGAAUAAUUUAAUGCGAUAGAUAAAAAAUUUAAAAAAAAAAAUCUUAUCUUGUAAUGCACUUAAUGCACUUUAAUUUUUUUUGGUCAUGUAGUUAAUUUUUUUAAUCUCCUAGUAACAGUAUGCUAUUUUUUGUUCUACUUUUUGCACGCAUGCAUACACACAUGUAUAUAUAGAGUUCUUCUUUAGUGAGGACAAAAUGAAGAAGUACACUACUGAUUUCAAUAUAAUAGAGAUUGUGCUUUUUUGUUUGUUAGUGACAGCUUCUCUUUGUUAAAUAUCUGUGUGUAUGUGUGUGUGUGUGUGAACUUACAUUGACAUAGUAUUUGACACUUUUUCUUAAUAGUUGGUGCAAAAUUACUAAAUCUUUUUCUUAAUAGUUGAUGCAAAAUUA
rnacentral:lncRNA from 1 species